AUAAAAGGACCAUCUUUUCAAAGAGCGAUUGUCUUUGGAUUAAGUACUUACAGCAGCAAUUGUAUCUUAGAUACUCGAGAAGCCAGAGAAAGACGUACAUGUCUGCAGACAAUGGACGUCUCCGUGCGUCACAUACCACGCACAUCGCGAUGGCUUUCAAUAAGUGACAUAGUUCUCAUUUCUGAUAAUGCUGUAACUUUCAUAUUUAUACACAUGCCGUCUCUACGCACAACGCUAUGUCUUAAGUCAAUGAUGUUUGGCAAACAGUGUAUGUGGGUCCUUGUAGUGUUGUGCAACUUCAGCGACGGGUUUAUCUUGGAUUGUUUGUAUAUUUGUUAUGAAGGACACAGUCUACCGGAUGUUUACUUUUCAUCUUGUGGCUGCAUCAAUGUCCGAAUUCAAGGUCAGUACACUACAAAACCUCCCCUAACAACCACAACAACUCCUCUAGAGACAACACAGACGAGUGUUCUCGCUCAUGCCGACGGAUCACCGCUUAUGUCAGCGCUUACCUUGAAUAUCACAACGGAAGCAGUUCUCUCAACGUCAACAACGACCGUGUCGACAACAGCCCCCACACGGACAACGAUGUCAAUGUGUGAUUAUUUAUGCGCAAUACAGGAGGGCGGAGCGGCCUGCUCAUGCAGCAAACCUAUCGUGCCAGGAAAAUAAGAAAGCCUUUUAUUUACCGUCAUAAAUAAAACAUAUGGGUGCUUAAUAACGUUUUAUCAUAUGCUAUACACUGUUUCCCAUGUAAUACAACCAUUACAUAUAAAAAUUUUAUUACACAUGUAUAAUACAACAUUUUUAAGCGUU